AGUGAACGCUGGCGGUAGGCCUAACACAUGCAAGUCGAACGGCAGCACAGUAAGAGCUUGCUCUUACGGGUGGCGAGUGGCGGACGGGUGAGGAAUACAUCGGAAUCUACUUUUUCGUGGGGGAUAACGUAGGGAAACUUACGCUAAUACCGCAUACGACCUACGGGUGAAAGCAGGGGAUCUUCGGACCUUGCGCGAUUGAAUGAGCCGAUGUCGGAUUAGCUAGUUGGCGGGGUAAAGGCCCACCAAGGCGACGAUCCGUAGCUGGUCUGAGAGGAUGAUCAGCCACACUGGAACUGAGACACGGUCCAGACUCCUACGGGAGGCAGCAGUGGGGAAUAUUGGACAUUGGGCGCAAGCCUGAUCCAGCCAUACCGCGUGGGUGAAGAAGGCCUUCGGGUUGUAAAGCCCUUUUGUUGGGAAAGAAAAGCAGCAGGUUAAUACCCCGCUGUUCUGACGGUACCCAAAGAAUAAGCACCGGCGAACUUCGU
rnacentral:rRNA from 1 species